rnacentral:rRNA from 1 species
CAGUCGCCGCGGGAAUACGAAGGGUGCAAGCGUUACUCGGAAUUACUGGGCGUAAAGCGUGCGUAGGUGGUGGUUUAAGUCCGUUGUGAAAGCCCUGGGCUCAACCUGGGAAUUGCAGUGGAUACUGGGUCACUAGAGUGUGGUAGAGGAUAGUGGAAUUUCCGGUGUAGCAGUGAAAUGCGUAGAGAUCUGGAGGAAUACCGAUGGCGAAGGCAGCCAUCUGGCCUAAUACUGACGCUGAGGUACGAAAGCAUGGGGAGCAAACAGGAUUAGAUACCCCCGUAGUCCCUGUCUCUUAUAC